GGUGAAUCAUCGAAUCUUUGAACGCAUAUUGCGCCCCUUGGCAUUCCGGGGGGCACACCUGUUCGAGCGCCAUUUCGACCCUCAAGCACAGCUUGGUGUUGGGCACGGUCCCACAGGACCCGCCCGCAACCCGUAGGCGGCCGCCGCCCGCGCCCCCAGCGUAGCAAGCUCACGCGUUCACUCGGGGACGGCGCGUCUGGCCCGCCAGACAAACCCUUCCAGGUUUGGCCUCGGAUCAGGUGGGGAUACCCGCUGAACUUAA
rnacentral:misc_RNA from 1 species